UACGGGGGGAGCAAGCGUUUGUUCGGAUUUACUGGGCGUAAAGGGCGCGUAGGCGGCCAGCACAAGUCAGUUGUGAAAUCUCCGGGCUUAACUCGGAAAGGUCAACUGAUACUGUGCGGCUAGAGUGCAGAAGGGGCAACUGGAAUUCUCGGUGUAGCGGUGAAAUGCGUAGAUAUUGACAGGAACACCGGUGGCGUAAGCGGCUAUCUGGACCGACAUUGACGCUGAGGCACGAAAGCGUGGGGAUCAAACAGG
rnacentral:rRNA from 1 species